rnacentral:rRNA from 1 species
CUUGAAACACGGACCAAGGAGUUUAUCGUGUACGCAAGUCAUUGGGUGAAUAAAACCCAAAGGCGAAAUGAAAGUAAAAAGUAGAAUUUUGAAAAAGAAAGUAAUUUUUUUUUCCAAAUUCUCUUAAGGGAAGAUGGAAAUCCUCUAAUAAUUAAUAAUAAUAGUUUACUAUAAUUAUUGUUUUUAGGGUGAGAUUUCUCGCACUCCCGGGGCGCUUGUUUCACGCUUUGCGUGUAAAUGCGCACCUAGAGCGUACACGCUGAUACCCGAAAGAUGGUGAACUAUGCCUGGCCAGGACGAAGCCAGGGGAAACCCUGGUGGAGGUCCGCAGCGAUUCUGACGUGCAAAUCGAUCGUCGGAGCUGGGUAUAGGGGCGAAAGACCAAUCGAACCAUCUAGUAGCUGGUUCCCUCUGAAGUUUCCCUCAGGAUA